ensembl:snoRNA SNORA72 Small nucleolar RNA SNORA72
CUGCAAAUAUUCUCGCUGUUUUGAUUUUGUAAUAAUCAGGGCAGGCUAAACAUUCACUAUGCUAAGACCAUGCAUGUGUCCCAGACCUAGUUCUUUCCCUAGGUCUGGUUUUAUCAAUGCUGGUAAUAAAC